rnacentral:rRNA from 1 species
GAUCUGGUUCAGGAUGAACGCUAGCGACAGGCUAACACAUGCAAGUCGAGGGGCAGCAUAAAAGUAGCAAUACUUGGUGGCGACCGGCGCACGGGUGAGUAACGCGUAUGCAACCUACCUAUCAGAGGGGAAUAACCCGGCGAAAGUCGGACUAAUACCGCAUAAAACAGGGACACCGCAUGGUGAUAUUUGUUAAAGAAAUUCGCUGAUAGAUGGGCAUGCGUUCCAUUAGGUAGUUGGUGAGGUAACGGCUCACCAAGCCGACGAUGGAUAGGGGAACUGAGAGGUUGGUCCCCACACUGGUACUGAGACACGGACCAGACUCCUACGGGAGGCAGCAGUGAGGAAUAUUGGUCAAUGGGCGAGAGCCUGAACCAGCCAAGUCGCGUGAAGGAAAGAAGGAUCUAUGGUUCGUAAACUUCCUUUGCAGGGGAAUAAAGUGCAGGACGUGUCCUGUUUUGUAUGUACCCUGAGAAUAAGGAUCGGCUAACUCCGUGCCAGCAGCUGC